rnacentral:lncRNA from 1 species
AAAAUUGGUGUGAUCUCUUGAAAAGAUUUUCUUUAUAUUUUCAGCUUUCUAUAGGAAGCAUAUUAUUUUUACAUAAAGAAUAAAUCUUACUACGAAAUUUGUGCUGGAAGAAAUAACAAGUGUCAUGAAGCAGAGAUGCUGGAGGGAGGAGCUGGAGAAAACAGGGCACACAGCAGGUGCUGCUAUCUCCCAGUGCAUGCAAGUCAGAGCCACAGUGUUCAUGUUGCAGGUCUUCCCAUAUCUGAGCUCUUGUGUUCAUGGUCCCCAUAUAGUCUCAGCACAUUGGAAUUUUAUAGUGAUUAUCACCGAAAAGAUAGUCUUACCAAGGAGAAAGCCAUCAAGGCAAGAAACCCAAUGGUCAUCUUGGUGUUCUUGUCAGUAUCUGUGAGAAAGAGAUUAUGUUAGAAUCUGCUUGACAAAAAUGCACCCAAGGUUUGUGGUUGAUGGUAAUUGAAC